GUUGUAUGGUUAAGUGAUUAAGCGUAGACGGUGGAUGCCUUGGCAGUCAGAGGCGAUGAAGGACGUACUAACCUGCGAAAAGCGAUGGUGAGCUGGUAAGAAGCAUUUGAGCCAUCGAUGU
rnacentral:rRNA from 1 species